GCUUAUUGAUAUUGUAUAUGCUAACGUUUGGAUGUGGGGCAGGAAAGACAGCCUUUAACUGCUGGUAUGCAGUGCUGAAUCUGGGCUGCAUGAAGAGGUUUUCAUUUACUGAUGUUGGAUGUGUGCCCAGAUUGCCAUAGUAGAAUUUAGGAAAAAGCACAGUAAAGAGAAGAACCACAGAAUGGUUUGGGGAACAUCCACAUGAGGCAGAAGAACAAAUACAUCUGAAGACUGUUUCCAGAAAUGAAAGGACUAACCACUGGGGAACAGUUGUGAGCCCCCCAAAUCCCAACCUGGCCCUCUACUUGAAGGAGGAAACCAAGUGGAACAGUUAAAGAACAACUCCCAGCCCUUCCUCCUGCUAAAUCAGAACUGUACUCCACAGAGAGAAAUAGCCCAGCCAGAUCACUCUUGUGUACAAACAGUAUUCCUCGUGUUCCCCAGUGCAUGGUCCUUGCCCUAGAUUCUUCCUAUUUGAGUCAAAUACAUCAUUCAAAAUCAUUCAAAUGUAAGCCCUGGAACACUGCAGAGAAGGAAAAAUAAGUUGAAGCAUAUCAGAUUUUCAUGCCAACCACUACUAAAAAAAUCAGUGCCUAUAAGGACGAUAUGAUAUAAAACCUGUCAACAGACACCAGUUUUGCCCACAUUCCAGCAAGCACAAAGAAGAAGGAUGAUUAUAGGUGUAGACAAGCUUUGCCAUUCAAGCAAGGAACUUAAAUACAAAACAGAAAUUACAGGUUGAUUUUCAAGAUACAUUCUUUUUGAAUCUACAAAGUUGUGUUUAUAUAUGUGUGUGUGAAGACUGUAGUUUUCCUCUUAAGCAAGUUAUGUGUUUGGAAUCUGAAGUUGUAUAUUUUUUAGUUAUGCUUGCAAAGAAAAAUUAUCAUUUUAUUGGCAGUAUAAUAAUAAUAAUAAUAAGUGCAUUAAAUAAGUGAUAUUGCUUUAGACUGUGUUAUGGUUAAAUAGUGCCAAUCAUGCUGUGUUCUUUUCUAUAAAGACGCUCAUAAACACAACUUCCAAAACAGAAUCUAAUGAGGUACUUAAUGGUCACAAAAAUGGCAUGUUUGAUAAUUAAUGUUCCUUACUGAUUUUUUGCUGAUGCAGCAUAGUGAUAAAUAGGAACAGAAGUUAACUAAACAUAUUCUUGAACCACUAGUUAAAAUGAGAGCACAAAAAGAACUUUAGUAACAUCAUUUACUAUAGACCAAAACAACAUUUGAUAGCCUCCUUCUAAGAUGAGCAGGAAAAGUCUAGGCAGACAACCACAAAGCUUUUCUGUUCUGAGAAGCAGAAACCCCUUUUCACACGGAGGAGUAUGAGACAGUUGAUCUGACUUUGCUUAUAGUAUAUUUCAUUGACAAAAAUUAGGAGACUUUGCUUGCAAGAUUCCCAGCUACCAAGAAAUAAAUACAAUUUUUUGAACACUUACUAUGUGCCAGGCAAUUCUGUACAGAAGUUAUAUUAUACAAAUCAUUGUUCUCAUUUUAAAGAUUAGGUUACUGAGGUUUAGCAAAGGUAAGUCUUUAACAGCAAUUAGUAAGAGAGGCCAUUUACAAGAAAGGCAGUGAUGAAUAAAGAAAAGAUUGCAGUUCUUACUGAGCAAUGAAACCCGAGUUUGAAUUCAUGAGCUACUAUUUUUUGCAGCUAUGUGAGACAGCUUCUUUCAGCCUUAGUUUUUUAUCUAUAAGAAGAGGAUAAUAAUACUUUAUAGUGUUUAAGGAUUAGAAAUCAUAUCUGUAAUGCAGGUUAGAUAUGACUUGAAGAUACUAAAUGAUUGUGAAAUGGUCCUUUCACGAUCCUCUCAGUCCUUUCUUGGUAAAAUACACACACACACACACACACACACACACACACACACACAAAAUACUUCCAAAGAAUUCAGCAGGAGUGAAAUUGGAAGAGAGGUACCCCUACCUCCAAAACUCAGGACCUUACCAAUAUACCACUCUAUCUUCUUUAAA